rnacentral:rRNA from 1 species
GCAGUCGAACGCUUUGUCUUUAACUGAUCUGACGAGCUUGCUCUGAUGUGAUUUUAUCUGACAAAGAGUGGCGAACGGGUGAGUAACACGUGGGUAACCUACCUCUUAGCAGGGGAUAACAUUUGGAAACAAGUGCUAAUACCGUAUAAUACCAACAACCGCAUGGUUGUUGGUUGAAAGAUGGUUCUGCUAUCACUAAGAGAUGGACCCGCGGUGCAUUAGCUAGUUGGUAAGGUAACGGCUUACCAAGGCAAUGAUGCAUAGCCGAGUUGAGAGACUGAUCGGCCACAAUGGGACUGAGACACGGCCCAUACUCCUACGGGAGGCAGCAGUAGGGAAUCUUCCACAAUGGGCGCAAGCCUGAUGGAGCAACGCCGCGUGUGUGAUGAAGGGUUUCGGCUCGUAAAACACUGUUAUAAGAGAAGAACGGCACUGAGAGUAACUGUUCAGUGUGUGACGGUAUCUUACCAGAAAGGAACGGCUAAAUACGUGCCAGCAGCCGCGGUAAUACGUAUGUUCCAAGCGUUAUCCGGAUUUAUUGGGCGUAAAGCGAGCGCAGACGGUUAUUUAAGUCUGAAGUGAAAGCCCUCAGCUCAACUGAGG